rnacentral:misc_RNA from 1 species
UUUCCGAAAAAUACAAUUAAAAAUACAUUAAAAAAAUCCUAAUAACCACGAGCCCUUUUAAAGUGAUAUCCACCCAUUUAAAAGAUAAGCCCAAUUAAAAGCCAUCAGCCAACCCAUUCCCAUCUAACCUACUAUUACCAAGUUGUAACAAAGACACCCCAACACCACUGUGUUGGGAGAAGAGAAACCAGGUACGUCUCCUCUUCUUUUCCUUCAUUGCUCUUUGCUGCAAAAGAGCUAAUCUUACUGGAGCACACCUUGGUGCGCCUGGCAGGCACCUGGGUGCACCUAUGCAACAUCGCCUGCCUGGAGGGUUUCUAAGCGCAGACCCCUCAACCUCAAGUGCCAAGGCACACCUUUAACAACUAUGCAUCAAGGAACUCAGCUUAUAAAAUAAAGCAUAAUAUAGGCAGACCAUAGUGGUUUGGGAGGCAUUUGUCACAUAUUGCUAACAACACCACAAAAAGGUAGCAACAUCAAGUAUCACAUCAGCAAAGAACAAUCAUUUGAUCAUAGGCAUUAUAAACAAUUUCAGUAACUUAUGAAGCAAAAUUUCAAGGACAACUCAUGGCAGUAAAAAAGGAAACAUAAUUGUCUGCACAUGACAUUAGGCGAGCUUACAAGUCAAAGCAGAUCCUUAGGAAUUGACCCCAAGCCAGCAACACAGCUAGGCAGCCAUCAUCAAUAUCAACAACUGCUAGUAUAAUUAACAACCCGAUCCCAUUAGGAAGGGCAGCAACAGCCCGCUACAAGUGGUAAUUCAUUAGUACUUGCAUAAGUUAUGAACGAAGCCAUGAAUAUCAUACAACAGAACGGGCAUCAGCUACCACUUCACAGCUACAGUCACGGACUCAUAUGCUACUCGCUACAUUAAGCAACAUAAGUCAAACUUCACAUGCUGGGAUUAAACAUGGUAAAAAGUCUAAUCAAUGCCCUAAACAAAUAACCAAACAUAAACAUGUUACCAUGUCCAACUCAGAGCAGCAUAUUAUGUUUGAUUUUAGUAUCAGCAGAGAACUACUGAGUAACAGGACCACUUCAUGUUCAGCAUCAGCUAUAGGUAAAACACGUUCAUCUUGUGUCCAACUUUUAAACCACCACAGCAACUACAAACCCAAAUCAGGACCAACUUUCCAAAGCAAAACAAAUGCCAGAGGAAAAUCAGGUCAACAUCAGACACCUGAAUGACAAAAGUGUUUCAAAAACCAAUGACUGACUUCAUUCCUUACCAAUCAUCAGAUAAUUUUGAGUAAUCACAAUCAUAAUCAUCCAUCUACAUUUAACAAACAGCAUCAACAGCCACAAUAGCCACAAAAUCAACAUUCUGGACAUCAGCCCCCAUAGCAAUCUUUCCGGAAACAGCUAUAAAACCCAACAAAUGUUUAUAGUGAAUCAAGGCUUCUAUGAAAUCAACCACAUGCAAGCAAUGAUCAAAGAGUUUGAAAACAGGACCCCCAAAGAUUAAAAAUGAAAGAUAAGACAGGAAAAAAGAAAGAACAUAAUUAUGUAGCUUACAACUCAAAUUAUUUUAUGAAUAAUAGAACAGAAACCUACAAACUACAAGUUCCGUACAUACUAAACAGACCAAGUUAAGUAUGCAUAAAGUUCAACAUAGAAAUAUUUAAGCACCAAAACGAAUCCAACCCUAC